rnacentral:rRNA from 1 species
AUGGUCCCGCUUCCACUUCCGCCGGGACCAUGGUCGUGGCCACUGGUGGGUAGCCUGUCUGAGAUGGUGCUCAAUAAGCCAGCAUUCCGUUGGAUCCAUCGCGUGAUGAAGGAUAUGGGCACCGACAUCGCUUGCUUCCGCCUUGGCGGCGUCCACGUCGUCCCGAUCACAUGUCCCAAGAUCGCAAGGGAGGUGCUCAAGAAGCAGGACAAGAACUUCUUGUCCCGCGCACUCACCUUCGCCUCCGACGCCAUCAGCUGCGGGUACAAGGACGCCGUGCUCACACCGUUCGGCGACCAGUGGAUGAAGAUGCGCAAGGUGCUCACCUCUGAGAUCAGCUGCCCCUCCCGCCACAAGUGGCUCCAUGACAAGCGCGCCGACGAAGCUGACAACUUGAUGUGCUACAUCUACAACCUCACCGCCGUGGGGUCAUCUUCAACGUUGGGACUAGCCAACGUCAAUGUCAGGCACGUCACGCGGCACUACCGCGGCAACGUCAUCCGUCGGCUUGUCUUUGGCCAACGGUACUUCGGGGAGCCUCAGCCGGGGCCGAUGGAGGUGGAGCACAUGGACGCUUCCUUCACCCUCCUAGGGCUCCUCUUCUCAUUUUUCGUCAGCAACUACCUCCCGUGUCUACUUGGCCUAGACCUCGACGGCCACGAGAAAUUUAUUAAGGAGGCCAACAUAAAAGUGGAUAGACUGCACAACAUGGUCAUUGAAGAGCGUUGGAGGCAGUGGAACAGCGACGAGAGGCAGGACGGGGUCCAGGACUUCCUUGACGUUCUCAUCACGCUCGCCGAUGGUGACGGCAAGCCAUUGCUCAGCAUCGAUGAGGUCAAAGCACAAUGCAAGGACAUAAUAUUAGCGGCCAUAGAUAACCCGUCAAACGCAGUGGAGUGGGCGCUGGCAGAGAUGGUGAACAACCCAGAAUUGUUGGCCAAAGCGGUGGAGGAGAUGGACCAGGUGGUCGGUCGCGAGUGA